rnacentral:rRNA from 1 species
GAUGAACGCUGGCGGUAUGCUUAACACAUGCAAGUCGAACGCAGACUUUCUGGUCUGAGUGGCGGACCGGUGAGUAACGCGUGAUAAUCUGGCUUCAGGUUGGGGACAACAAUUUGAAACGGUUUCUAAUACCCAAUGUGCCGUUAAGGUGGAAGAUUAAUUGCCUGAAGAUGAGCUCGCGUCUGUUUAGCUAGUUGGUGGGGUAAGAGCUCACUAAGGCUACGAGCAGUAGCUGGUCUGAGAGGACGAUCAGCCACACUGAGACUGAGACGCGCCCGAGACUACUACGAGAGACAAGAGUGGAGAAUUUUCCGCAAUGGGCGAGAGCCUGACGGAGCAAUCCCGCGUGAGAGAGGGACGCUCUUUGGUUGUAAAGCUGUUGUCUCAGAGAAGAAGGCAGUGACGGUACCUGAUGAAUAAGCAUCGGCUAACUACGUG